GCAUGUCAGGUAUAAAUAAUUUCCAUUUCAAACAUAAAACGUCUUCAGCAAAAACUACAGCAAAGUAAAUGGUUAUACCUUUUUCACGAAUACUUUGAUGAGACACAUACACGUUGAUUUCUGGAGGAAGUAAUCAUCCGAAAGCUAGGAAAAGGUAUAUUGUAGGAGACAAUGCACCGUAUAAUUGUGUUUAUUAUAUGCACUGUUUUGAAAUGUACAGUCAAUGGGUGUCCACUUGUAUGUAGCUGCACGGACACGACGGUUGAUUGCAAGAAUAGAAAUCUAGCAACAGUGCCGUCUGAAAUUCCCAAUUCGACACCCGUAUUAGAUUUGCAAAACAAUCAAUUAACUACAAUACAACAAGGAGCAUUUUCAGACCUAC